UGGGGAAUCUUAGACAAUGGGCGCAAGCCUGAUCCAGCCAUGCCGCGUGAGUGAUGACGGCCCUAGGGUUGUAAAGCUCUUUCAACGGUGAAGAUAAUGACGGUAACCGUAGAAGAAGCCCCGGCUAACUUCGUGCCAGCAGCCGCGGUAAUACAGAGGGUGCAAGCGUUAAUCGGAUUUACUGGGCGUAAAGCGUACGUAGGCGGAUUGUUAAGUGAGAGGUGAAAUCCCAGGGCUCAACACUGGAAC
rnacentral:rRNA from 1 species